UAGAGAUUGACAACCUUUUUCUUCUAGCUAUGUCCACGGCAAUUUGAUUCCAUCAAUUCAUAGCAUAACCUUCAAACUCUAAGGAUUCCAUAAGAACCUUAUCAUCAUCCUCAUAAUCAUAAGAGCUGAAGAUUUGGUUAAGCUUCAUUUCCCGUGCUAAGUAGGCUUCCGAGUCAUUAGCUCCAUUAAAUUUAGGGAUAACAAUCUUCUUCCACCUAUUAUCUCUUCUAGGUGUGUGGUUUCCAAACUUUUCUCAUCUUUGACCUCGUCUUGGUCUAAAACCAUGCUCCUCGUCAUCAUCAUCCCUCCCAAGCAUGUCGUUCUCAAACUCCUCCCGUCUUUAGCCCCUCCUUAGUAUAAAAGCAUGCUCUUCUUCAUCAUUAUGAGAAUAACGGUCUGAAUCAUCUUGUCUCCUUCUCCUUCUUUCCACUCCCUCCAAUCUCACACUCACAUCUUCAUUAGACUUUUAGAGCCUUUCAAACUACAGUUGAGUGUGUUGUUGCAUUCAAGUCAUUUGUAAGUUCAGCUUCUCAAGUGCAACCAUCAUAUUCGCAGUCUUAGGUGAUGGAGGAUCACUAUUUCGGGAAGAAGCCAUGUCCUGUAAGAAAAUGUUAGUAAUAAUAAUAAUAAUAAAUUUAGGACCUCACCACGCC
rnacentral:lncRNA from 1 species